CAUCACACACACUAUAUAAAUAUACGCGGAGAUGCCCAGAUACAUUCAUGCGCUGCGCACACAGGAUACUUGCUCCCGGGAGAUAAGAGCGAGCUGGGAACAAUGCCGGGGUCCACGCCCGGCGCCCGCGCCCUGAUUCCCGCAGUCUGCACGCCCCCCUCCCCACAAAGUCCGACACCAAACGCCUUCGGCCUCCUUCCUUUCCCCGGGGCCGUUGGCCGAAGGUGGCCCUCCUGACUCAUUCACUUUCCGUUUCUUCCCACAGAUACAUUCAUUAAUGCUUUUCCCAGCCGGAGUCAAACUUUUUUUGGGGGGGGGGGUGGGAUGGGAGAGUUUACUCGGGCUGGGGAUAACGUGGAGCCUACAGCCCAGGAAGAUCCGGAUGCAGACAGAAGCAAACUAACCGCUAAAAAGUGCAUCCAAUGGGAACUUUUCCACUCGAGCCCUGGGCUGCAGAGUCGGGCAGACUCCCGGAGCGGCUCACCCGGCGACGCGGACUCGGGGCGGUUUCGGACCGACCCCUGCCGUCGGGGGCGUGGACUCCGCUCCCAGCGCGCUGUUAGCGGACGGACGGACGCUAUCCGGGGGGCGCGCCUCAGCACCCGGCACCUGGGCUACCGGAGAGGUCCCGGCGCCCGCCGAGGGCCGGUUCCCGCGGCAUCCCAGGUCGCCUAUCCGAGCCUUCUGGGGUCAGACCCCUCGCGCUGACCCCGACCCGAUGGCCCAAGCCCCAGCUCCCGGGCCAGAGACGCCAAUGCAAUGCCACCUUGGGCCCCAAGAAACUUACACUACGGCGAGACGAUCCCUCCCAGCUGGCCGGCAGGUCUCCAGAACACUGCAUGCAACAACCCUGAACAGACUCAGACCGCUCCCGGGUGAGACCUCCGGGACGGUGCUCCGGACCGUCAUCCUCACCCCGCGGUUACCUUGUCCACGCUCUCCAGACCACGCUUUGGACUUUCUCACUUUUAUUUAAGAGUCCACCAGGGGAAGGAGGGAGAAAAAUCCAGAGGAGAUCCGAGUCAAUUGGAAAGAAAAAAAUUUCAAAAGGGUGUCCACAGCGGCAAAAAAGCCCAGACUCUGCCGACCUUCAAACAACAACAAGGCUUUCAGGAGAGAGCGGGGAGACCACUUCCCACCCGGACCUGACCAGAAACCAGGCACCCUCAGCCACAUUCCCCCUCUUGCAGGCAGAAAGAACUCCGGUCUACACAGGAGGCCCCCUUCCUGGUGCUGGGCGAACACUGAGGCCGUUCAUGGCCACCCCACACCAGCCGGCAGCUCUCCUUCUACACACAGUCCCGCUAGUGCUUGAGAAGGGCGCCUCUGUGGCAGACGGUGGCCAGGCUCCUCUUCCCAACUCCUGUUCGGCCUGACAAAUAACAGCCAGUCUUCACUGCUCUGAUCAGUAAGUCACCCCAAUAUCCCUAGCACCCCAACUUCUUUUAGCAGGAGGUGCCUCUUCCCUUGGGAGAACUCAGUGUGGCACUUGAUUUAAACAAGGACUGGCCCUCUGG